AGAGUUUGAUCAUGGCUCAGGACGAACGCUGGCGGCGUGCCCAACACAUGCAAGUCGAACGGACGAGGCCCCUUCGGGGACCGAGUUAGUGGCGGACGGGUGAGUAACGCGUGAGCAACCUGCCUUUCAGAGGGGGACAACAGUUGGAAACGACUGCUAAUACCGCAUGAUGCAGCGAGAUCGCAUGGUCUUGCUGUCAAAGAUUUAUCGCUGAAAGAUGGGCUCGCGUCUGAUUAGCUAGUUGGAGGGGUAACGGCCCACCAAGGCGACGAUCAGUAGCCGGACUGAGAGGUUGAACGGCCACAUUGGGACUGAGAUACGGCCCAGACUCCUACGGGAGGCAGCAGUGGGGAAUAUUGGGCAAUGGGGGAAACCCUGACCCAGCAACGCCGCGUGAAGGAAGAAGGCUUUCGGGUUGUAAACUUCUUUUACCAGGGACGAAGAACGUGACGGUACCUGGAGAAAAAGCCACGGCUAACUACGUGCCAGCAGCCGCGGUAAUACGUAGGUGACAAGCGUUGUCCGGAUUUACUGGGUGUAAAGGGCGUGUAGGCGGAGCUGCAAGUCAGAUGUGAAAUCUGGGGGCUUAACCCUCAAACUGCAUUUGAAACUGUAGCCCUUGAGUAUCGGAGAGGCAGGCGGAAUUCCUAGUGUAGCGGUGAAAUGCGUAGAUAUUAGGAAGAACACCAGUGGCGAAGGCGGCCUGCUGGACGACAACUGACGCUGAGGCGCGAAAGCGUGGGGAGCAAACAGGAUUAGAUACCCUGGUAGUCCACGCUGUAAACGAUGAAUACUAGGUGUGGGGGGACUGACCCCCUCCGUGCCGGAGUUAACACAAUAAGUAUUCCACCUGGGGAGUACGACCGCAAGGUUGAAACUCAAAGGAAUUGACGGGGGCCCGCACAAGCAGUGGAUUAUGUGGUUUAAUUCGACGCAACGCGAAGAACCUUACCGGGAUUUGACAUCCUACUAACGAAGCAGAGAUGCAUUAGGUGCCCUUCGGGGAAAGUAGAGACAGGUGGUGCAUGGUUGUCGUCAGCUCGUGUCGUGAGAUGUUGGGUUAAGUCCCGCAACGAGCGCAACCCCUAUUGUUAGUUGCUACGCAAGAGCACUCUAGCGAGACUGCCGUUGACAAAACGGAGGAAGGCGGGGACGACGUCAAAUCAUCAUGCCCCUUAUGUCCCGGGCUACACACGUAAUACAAUGGCGGUCAACGAAGGGAAGCAAAGCCGCGAGGCAGAGCAAACCCCCAAAAGCCGUCUCAGUUCGGAUUGCAGGCUGCAACUCGCCUGCAUGAAGCUGGAAUUGCUAGUAAUCGUGGAUCAGAAUGCCACGGUGAAUACGUUCCCGGGCCUUGUACACACCGCCCGUCACACCAUGAGAGUCGGGAACACCCGAAGUCCGUAGUCUAACCCGCAAGGGAGGGCGCGGCCGAAGGUGGGUCUGAUAAUUGGGGUGAAGUCGUAACAAGGUA
rnacentral:rRNA from 1 species